rnacentral:lncRNA from 1 species
UAGAGUGAACUAGCUUUUCUUCUUCUUUCCCUUGGGUUUCUAAACUUAUCUAAUUUUUUUAAUUUUUUUAAAUUUUUACUAAUUUUUUUUUGCUCUCUACUUUUAUUCCCGAACUCCCUAUUUAUAGAUAAAUUUUUUACCUUUUUCUAGUAGCAAAAGGAGUCCCAAAACCUCUAGAAAUCAUAUUAUACACGUAUGAUUAAUUCUGGCCAUCGAAUUUCACUUGGACCACCCAAAUCAGCCCAAAAAAUAUUGUUUAAAUCCUUCUCUCACUCAAGGAUGAU